GAAAGAUUUCAGCCACAACUGCCAGAAUAAUUGUUCGGGAAACAAAGAAAAACCCACAGGUAACCUCAGGAGAAAUACAGACUGAUCUGGAAAAAGACGGUGUGGUUGUUUCAAGGAGCACAAUACGACAAUACUUUUAAAAAUAAGAGCUGCAUGUUCGAGUUGCCAGAAAGAAGCCUUUACUGCGCCAAUGCCACAAAAAAGCCUGGUUACAAUAGGC